CAUGUUGUAAGUUAAGAGAUGGUAGGUAAUUUUUUUUGAACUAGGUGUGGUACCUUUUGCAUCAUGAUUCGCUGAGGGGUUUUAAAGAUUUAUGGACUCGAAGGGUUACGAUUAUCAUUCAAUAUGUUCAGUACUUACGUCUAAGUGGGUAAUUUUUCGAAUAUUUGUUUGAAGUGUUGAGAAAUAAUUCGUGUAAUCUGAUAGCUAGUUGGAAAGGAGUGUUAUAUGUUGUGUUUUAUUGCGAAGCGGUGAUAGAAUAUGUAAGAAACUUUUAUGUAGGUGGUAAUAAAUCUAGGGUCAGAGUUACCUUUGAUUUGGUAGUAUGUUAUUAUAAGAUAUUUAGGGGUAUUGUGUUUUUGGUUGUAUGCUUUCCAUGGAAAUUGGUUGUUUAAUGUUAAUGGUGGAAUGAGUAGAAAUAGUAGUGUCUUCUUUUUUUCUCGGUGCUUGUUGGUCUGUUUUUCAAAAACAUUUCUAUUUGUGAUAUUUAAAUAGUAGGACCUGCCCUAUGUUUGUAUAAAUGGCCGCAGUAUAUUGACUGUGCAAAGGUAGCAUAAUUAAUUGUCUCGUAAUUGGGGAAUUGUUUGAAUGGUUUAACCAAAUGAGGGAGAAGAUGGAAGAGGUGUUUGAAAUUGGAUAUUUGGUGCAGAUUCCAAAGAUGUUUAGUAGGACGGAAAGACCCCGAGAGCUUUAUAUUAGAAUAUUUAUUUGGGGCAGAGGUAAAUUAUUUAUUUAUUUUAUGAUCCUGAAAGGGUAAAAGGUGUAAGUUACCUCGGGGAUAACUAGGUAAGAGAUAAGGAGAGAUCAGAUCGAUUUAUUUAUUUGCCAUCUCGAUGUUGAUUUAAAGUAAUAUAAGGGCGCAGAAGUUUUUAUAUUUGGUCUGUUCGACCAUGGUACUUUUCAUGAAUUGAGUUAAGACCGGUGUAAGCCAGGUCGGUUCUUAUCUGUUAUUCUUAUGGGUUAGUACGAAAGGAUUGCCUGUGAUUUAUGUU
rnacentral:rRNA from 1 species